GACAGAGGUGCCAAGCGUUAGGCGGAAUCACUGGGCUUAAAGCGUGUGUAGGCGGAUCGUUAAGUACCUUGUGAAAUCCCACGGCUCAACCGUGGAACUGCUUGGCAUACUGGCGGUCUUGAGCAACCUAGGGGCGAGCGGAACAAAUGGUGGAGCGGUGAAAUGCGUAGAUAUCAUUUGGAACGCCAAUGGUGAAAACAGCUCGCUGGGGGUUUGCUGACGCUGAGACACGAAAGCCAGGGGAGCAAACGGG
rnacentral:rRNA from 1 species